rnacentral:rRNA from 1 species
AUUGAACGCUGGCGGCAGGCUUAACACAUGCAAGUCGAGCGGAGUGAUGGUGCUUGCACUAUCACUUAGCGGCGGACGGGUGAGUAAUGCUUAGGAAUCUGCCUAUUAGUGGGGGACAACAUCUCGAAAGGGAUGCUAAUACCGCAUACGUCCUACGGGAGAAAGCAGGGGAUCACUUGUGACCUUGCGCUAAUAGAUGAGCCUAAGUCGGAUUAGCUAGUUGGUGGGGUAAAGGCCUACCAAGGCGACGAUCUGUAGCGGGUCUGAGAGGAUGAUCCGCCACACUGGGACUGAGACGCGGCCCAGACUCCUACGGGAGGCAGCAGUGGGGAAUAUUGGACAAUGGGGGGAACCCUGAUCCAGCCAUGCCGCGUGUGUGAAGAAGGCCUUAUGGUUGUAAAGCACUUUAAGCGAGGAGGAGGCUCUUUUGGUUAAUACCCAAGAUGAGUGGACGUUACUCGCAGAAUAAGCACCGGCUAACUCUGUGCCAGCAGCCGCAGUAACAC